rnacentral:lncRNA from 1 species
GUAGCUUGUGGGUCUUUGGUCUGAAGACCAUGAACGCGGCGGUUGGCCUUCGGCGCCGCGCGCGAUUGUCGCGCCUCGUGUCCUUCAGCGCGAGCCACCGGCUGCACAGCCCAUCUCUGAGUGCUGAGGAGAACUUGAAAGUGUUUGGGAAAUGCAACAAUCCGAAUGGCCAUGGGCACAACUAUAAAGAUCGAUCCGGUUACAGGAAUGGUUAUGAAUUUGACUGACCUCAAAGAAUACAUGGAGGAGGCCAUUAUGAAGCCCCUUGAUCACAAGAACCUGGAUCUGGAUGUGCCAUACUUUGCAGAUGUUGUAAGCACGACAGAAAAUGUAGCUGUCUAUAUCUGGGAGAACCUGCAGAGACUUCUUCCAGUGGGAGCUCUCUAUAAAGUAAAAGUGUAUGAAACUGACAACAACAUUGUGGUCUACAAAGGAGAAUAGAUCUUAGGUUUAAUAUUGUAGAAAAGCUAAUUUCUUUUCUUACUAGAAAAAGCUCUUUGUCCUUUUAAAGUACACAGCAGUCAUCACCUACCCGUGUCUCCAUGUUGUGUUCUGGUGUGCCUGAGCGUUAAAGGGAUUGUGAGGUCUGUAUGUAAAUGCAUUAAGAAGCAAAUUCGCAGUGCAUCCUGAGUGUAUUCUUGGUGAGAAAGCAGGGGAGAACUGAGGAUUGAAGCCCGGGCCUCACACAUGUGAAACAUAUACUCUGCUCCGACAUGCAUCCCAG